UACGAAGGGGGCUAGCGUUGUUCGGAAUUACUGGGCGUAAAGCGCGUGUAGGCGGGUCUUUAAGUCAGGGGUGAAAUGCCAAGGCUCAACCUUGGAACUGCCUUUGAUACUGGAGAUCUUGAGUCCGGGAGAGGUGAGUGGAAUUGCGGGUGUAGCGGUGAAAUGCGUAGAUAUCCGCAGGAACAUCCGAGGCGAAAGCGGCUCGCUGGAUCGCAACUGACGCUGAGGGACGAAAGCUAGGGGAGCAAACAG
rnacentral:rRNA from 1 species